GCAGUGGUAGUUCAGUGGUAGAAUUCUUGCUUUUCAUGCAGAAAACUCUGGUUUGAUUCCCUGCCAGCGCA
rnacentral:tRNA from 1 species